GUGAAUUUAGAGGUCGAAAGACGACCUUCCUCUUCACCAUCUUUCUGACCUCCGAUUGGAGUUCCUCUGGCCGCUUCACCGCAGGCUCUGGCUUCCUUUUCUCCAGUCUGCGCAGGAAGUCUCUGUGAUGACCAGGUCUCACCGUCCAGAUCUGCAGGCAGCUCAGCCUUCAGAACCGUGACAGAGCCAAGUGAUUGUUGGGAGCAGAGGAAUGGGAGAAAGCCAGAAAUCCAUUGAAAGAUACUUUUAAUCCACUUAGGAAUACUUACGUAAAUACAUCUUGAAAACUUAAACUGGAAAUAAGCUUACACCAGAAUGAAACCAGUAGGCUGUGCAGGGGCUGGCUGUGGUCAGGACUCAGCAGGUGAAGGUGCCUGCUGCCCAGCCUGAUGAUCCGAGUCCACUUUCUGGAAUCUCCAUGGUUGACUGCCUCCAAGAGUUCCUUCUACAGCUGGAAUGCAAGAUCCUGAGUGGAGUCCAGGUGGUGGGUCUGGGAGCCUCCAGAGAGUCAUGGCCAGUCAGGAUGGCUGCCGUCCCCGUGCUUCUGGAGAGGGGCUUAGCCAAGAGGAAGCCACCCCAAAGGCUGAUCUCCUGACAGUUGAGCCGGUCCCCUGACAUGUGGCAUGCUGCAGGUGGUGCCUUCCCUUUCCUCUGUUGUCCAGCUCUGACAGACAGCCAGGAUGGCAGGGUGUCCAGCCAGGCCACUGGUGGUAUAGUGCCAGGGAAAUGUUAGUGCCCCCCCC
rnacentral:lncRNA from 1 species